rnacentral:misc_RNA from 1 species
AUUCUUCAACCCACCUCUUUCUUAGUGAAUCAGGCGGUGUUUGGAUUCUGAGUGCUGCUGGCCUCACAGCCUAGCUCGCUCGCAAUGCAUUAGCAUCCGCAAUCGAACUUCGGAUUGACUCGGCGUAAUAGACUAUUCGCUGAGGAUUCUGGUCUCUGACUGGAGCCGGGUGAGAUCAAAGGAAGCUACUAAUCCUCAUGUCUAUCUUGAGAU